rnacentral:tRNA from 1 species
GCCGGAUUAGCUCAGGGGUAGAGCGGGGUCCUUGUAAGGCCCAAGUCGCAGGUUCGAAUCCGUGCAUCCGGCACCA